rnacentral:rRNA from 1 species
UACUCUAACCGUGCGAAGGUAGCACAAUAACUUGUUCUUUAAAUAAGGACUAGAAUCAAUGGCUUCACGAGGGUUACACGUCUCCUUUUUCUAAUCAGUGAAACUGAUCUCCCCGUGAAGAAGCGGGGAUAUUACUAUAAGACGAGAAGACCCCAUGGAGCUUUAAACUAAAUAGGUAACCUCUACAAAUUACAUGGUAAUCUUGGCUUUUAUCUAUUAGUUUUGGGUUGGGGUGACCGCGGAGAAUAGCCUAACCUCCGCAAUGAAAAGAAUAAUAUCCUAAUCUAAGAGGGACACCUCUAAGAAUUAAUAAAUUAACAUAUGAUGAUCCAAUACUUACAUUUGAUCAAUGAACCAAGUUACCCUGGGGAUAACAGCGCAAUCCACUUCAAGAGUCCCUAUCGACAAGUGGGUUUACGACCUCGAUGUUGGAUCAGGGUAUCCCGGUGGUGCAGCCGCUACUAAAGGUUCGUUUGUUCAACGAUUAAAACCCUACGUGAUCUG